UAGCGCAGCGGGUGGCAAAUGGCAGCAUAGCGGUCGUAGGCCAUGAAAGCCAAAAGAAUACAUUCUGUGGAGCCCAGAGCAAGGAAGAUGUAGAGCUGGGCCACGCAGGCACCGUAACUGAUGGUCUUGCUUUUCCUCCAGAAGUUCACCAGCAUGUGAGGGCCCACACUGGUGGUGAAGCAAAGAUCAAGGACAGAGAGAUUGGUGAGGAAGAAAUACAUGGGGGUGUGGAGGUGGGGGUCCAGCCACGACACCACAAUGAUGGUCGUGUUGCCUAGCAGGGUCAUUGUGUAGCAGAUCAGGACAAGACCAAAGAGAAACAUCUCCAAGUGUGGGCGGUCAGCCAUUCCCAAUAACACAAAUUCUGUUUGGAAGCUGUGGUUACCUUCUUCCCAUACUGCUCCCCCAUACAUUAUCUGGAAUAAGAUGCAAAAACUGUAACAAAAGACCAUUUCAAAAUGGAAACUGGUAUGAGCAGCUGACACAAGAGCCAUAGUGACACAUUUCUAAGACCGAGGACUCAAUAACAGUAUGAAUACAAUCCAGGAAUCACACACAUGAGGAAAGAACACAUGCUACACUUGAUUCGUACAGGGGUGAGGAACCUUUAGCCCUCCUGACAUUCCUGAACCACAGCCUCCAUCAGUCCUGAAAGCAUAGCCAAUGAAUAGCAAGGGAUGAUGGGAGUUGUCUUUUAGAAACAUCUUGAAUCCCACAUGUUCUGGUUCAGUUUCUACACAAAGGACCAAUUUAGGAAGGUGGUGCUUGCAGAGGCUACUGCUCAGUUCACCCCACCUUGCUAUAGCAAUGUUUGAGAAAAACAACCCGACAUGCAGCUCUCCAGAGGUUCUGUAUGUCUUCUGCUAGGUCUACGUACCCUGCUCUUCAUUGUCUUAACUGUUUUCACUUGGCUGGGAUGUGCCCUUGAACUCUACUGGGUGGAAACUAGACACAUAUAAAAAAACAUUGCGAAAAUGCUUUUUUUAAAAAAAAGUUUUGAAAAAUAUAUGGAAUUUGCCAUAGCUCACCAUCGCCAUCUAGAGUCGCAUUUGUAUAAUGCACUUUAAAGGUAAAGGUAAAGGGACCCCUGACCAUUAGGUUCAGUCGUGGCCGACUCUGGGGUUGCGGCGCUCAUCUCUCUUUAUUGACCGAGGGAGCCGGCGUACAGCUUCCGGGUCAUGUGGCCAGCAUGACUAAGCCGCUUCUGGCGAACCAGAGCAGCGCACGGAAACGCUGUUUACCUUCCCGCCGGAGCGGUACCUAUUUAUCUUUCACUUUGACGUGCUUUUGAACUGCUAGGUUGGCAGGAACAGGGACCAAGCAACGGGAGCUUACCACGUCACGGGGAUUCGAACCACCAACCUUCUGAUCAGCAAGUCCUAGGCUCUGUGGUUUAACCCUCCAGCGCCACCGGCGUCCGUAAUGCACUUUACAACACCCUUAAAACGUUUUAUUUGCAGCUGUAUAGCUGAGUCCCUCUUGCUACUUGCUUGCCUAGAUGGAGGCAUUUGCUCUGAUCUAGCAGGGCUGUUACUAUGUUUUAAUGUGGUUACUCCAGCUUUUUCUAGCACAGCGAUAGCCAACAUGGUGCCCUUCAGAUAUGAUUCGACUCCAACUCCCACAACCGCCAGCAAGCAGGGCCAAUAGUCAAGGAUGAUGGAAGUUGUAGGACUAGUGCAAUGUCAUUGGUUUCAUUUUUUUUAUGGUGUUAAUUGUUUGGUCUAAUGUGUAACUGUUGUAAACAUAUCUAACAGCAGUAUAUAAAUAUAUAUAUUUCAUAAAGAAAUAAAUAUGUGCUAAAUGGUGCUUUCUUAAAACGCACCAGAGAAGUUUAGUUAGUACAAAAUGAAGCAGGUACAUUGCUGACAGGAAUCCAGAAACUCUGAGUUAGGCAUACCUGUUUUAAAUAGAGGAAGGAAGGAAGGAAGGAAGGAAGGAAGGAAGGAAGGAAGGAAAGAAAUAGUAAAAUAUUGUUUGGCUCUGAACUGGACAUCUUGGGGUCAGAUUACAAAGCUUACUGAAAAAGACAAGGUAUUGUGUUAAAGUAAAGAAUAAAAAUUCCCAGUUAAAAUCUAUUAGAAUGAAAUAAACUACCCGUGAUCAUAUGCUAAUAUAUGAACAUACAAUCAACCACAUUUUAAAUUGUGUAAUAGUAUUCUGGUUUCCAGAUCUCAGAAAGAACGUAGACUUCAAAGAGGUAAAAAAAGAAGAAGACAAAAUAUGGAAACUUAAAAUGAUCCGUCACUGAAGGCUUUUCCUACUAAAAAGAUCUAAAAAGAAAUGGGUUCCUUUUAGUUUAGGAAAGCUUAAGAGAUUAUUAAUGACCUGACUAUGUAUUAGCUGCAAACUCAAGUAACAGAAACACAAAGGUGCUUUUGUUUGUUUGUUUAAAGGGAAACUUCAGAAGGGAGCAUUUUGCAAUAAAGACGCUCAAUCAGUGUUCUACCUGAAGCUUCAAAAUCCUCUCUCCAGAGGCUUUUCCAGGCAGGAG